rnacentral:rRNA from 1 species
AGCGAACGCUGGCGGCAGGCCUAACACAUGCAAGUCGAACGAACCUUUCGGGGUUAGUGGCGGACUGGUGAGUAACACGUGGGAACGUGCCUUUAGGUUCGGAAUAACUCAGGGAAACUUGUGCUAAUACCGAAUGUGCCCUUCGGGGGAAAGAUUAAUCGCCUUUAGAGCGGCCCGCGUCUGAUUAGCUAGUUGGUUGAGGUAAUGGCUCACCAAGGCGACGAUCAGUAGCUGGUCUGAGAGGAUGAUCAGCCACAUUGGGACUGAGACACGGCCCAAACUCCUACGGGAGGCAGCAGUGGGGAAUCUUGCGCAAUGGGCGAAAGCCUGACGCAGCCAUGCCGCGUGAAUGAUGAAGGUAUUAGGAUUGUAAAAUUCUUUCACCGGGGACGAUAAUGACGGUACCCGGAGAAGAAGCCCCGGCUAACUUCGUG